ACCUAGGCAAAUUAGUUAAAAUAAUAUUAUUUAAACUAAAUAACCUAAGGAUCAAUCCUUAACCAAGGGAUUUAAGGAUUUGAUCCUUAGCACAGCUGGCAGCUUGAGAUCCCCUUCUCUCUUCUCUCUCUUUUUCCUUCUCGUCACUUCCAAGAUGUGUUCUUGCUCCUGUAAAGCUUCAGACUGUUGAGUUCCCUUGCUUCUGAUCGAGUUCUUUGUUAAUGGUCAUCAUUAAUCAUCAUCAUUGGCAUUUGUUGACACUCCAAGUCUGCGUCUUUGUCCCUCUUUAACAUCUGCUUCUGCACAGUCUCAAGUACCCAUUUCACUACCUUCAUAAAAGUUUUCAUUUUUUUGAUUUAGUGUUUUUGAAGAUUCAUAAAGCUAAAACCUUGUUUGAUCCGAUCCCUUUUUGACGGAUGUGGAGAGACAGCUCUGGAAAAGUGAAAAUUAAACCCAAAAAAGAAGAGUUAGAGAUGCAGGAGGCCUGUGCUAAAAGAGAAUAUCCAACCCAUCAGAUGGCAUCAUCAUGCUAAUAUGAUUAGAUUGAGUGUCUGGUGGGGACUAAGUUUUAAGUGGCGAAGCUGUCAUCAUAGUUCCUAAUGGGGGUGAGGUACUUGCAGUUCUCCGUCGCAUCAACAGCUCUGAGCUUUGCGGGGCUUCAAGUCUGGACAGAGCUGUCUCUGGAUAGACUUAGAGCAGAUGUGAACAACUAGGUACUCUCUGAGAUCUUUCUGUAUUAGAGCAUAACGAAAACAUUGCUUGCUGAGAGGAGACAAGGCGAUGCAGCUUCUUGAGAGUGGCUUGAAAGUGAAGUAACACUGGCUGCUUUGGAUUUGGAUUUUGAGGAGAUUAAUCUUGGAAUCAAGUAAGCGUUGUGAUAAGGUCAUUCUUUGCAUCAAACACUGGUUGAUGAUGGCUCUCUGAUUUUUCGUUAAAGGAUAUUAUUAUGUUGCAUACAGAGUGUGUCAUACUCUGUUAUCAGACACUCUGUGGAGCUGUUACAAUUGGCAACUGAUAUGGAGAAUAUAGGUUGGAUCAUUUAUUUGUGAAUAUAAGGAU